rnacentral:rRNA from 1 species
CCGGCGCACGGGCGAGUAACACGUAUCCAACCUGCCGAUAACUCGGGGAUAGCCUUUCGAAAGAAAGAUUAAUAUCCGAUAGCAUAUCAAUCCCGCAUGAGAUUGAUAUUAAAGAAUUUCGGUUAUCGAUGGGGAUGCGUUCCAUUAGUUUGUUGGCGGGGUAACGGCCCACCAAAGCGACGAUCAGUAGCCGACCUGAGAGGGUGACCGGCCACAUUGGGACUGAGACACGGCCCAA